UUGACUCAACAGCGAGACGCAACCACAAGACACCAAUAGAAACUAAGGGAAACUGCGUGCAAAACAGGAGGUUCUUUCUUUUUUUUACACAAAGGUUUGUGGUCGUUUUGAACAAACUACCCAGCCAGGUUGAUGAAGCCAGAAGUCUAGCUGCUCUAAAGAGACAGUUGGAUGAAAUUCUCAGAAGAACUGGCUGCCACAAAGCAAAUGAACUAGAAUAGCCAAAUGACUGAAUUUUGUUUGCAACCAUAUUUCCAUAUCCCAAUUGCGGACAAAGCUGAAGGAAACAAGACACUGAUGAAGGCCUUAUCGGGGUUGAGUGCUGCUUCAUCCUAGACUGACGAGGAAAGGACAGGAAGAAGGGAAGAAUACAGGCACUUUAUCCAAUGGGGGGAAAAAAGUUGCCAGAGGUACAAAGACACUCAAGACAAGAAGGGAAGGUAGCAGACAGAUCGAUUGUCAAUGGCAUAGCGGACUCCAGAGAGACAGCUAAAGAAUCAAUGUCCUGGCCCAGCACUUCCAAGUGUUGUCACCAC